ACACGGCGGCGGGCUGCGCCAGGGUGGAGAACCAGGACGACAUGACUGAUUUGGCGCUGGUUAAGGCUCCGCCCACUGACUGACCUGAGAGCACAAGAUGGUGGACGGCCAGCAAUCGGCCAAUCAGAGAAAAAUGCGAGCACGCCUACGCCACACAGGAAGGAAGUGGGCGGGACUCACUGUGACAGACGCAGUUUGACGUCGGCGACGCUGUACUGUCCCUGGAAAGGAUGUCUGCGGCACACAAGGAGAAGAGCACAGCACGUUUGUUGCACAAGGCAUGACGAAAUCGGAGGUUGGAAUUUAAGGCCAUAUGGGGCAGCCGGAGCAGAUGAUGACAAAGAGGUCGGCGGUGGCGUUACCCCGGCGUGACGGCAGCCAUGGCGGCGUGCUUGUUGCUGUGCCACAGGCAGUAGUUGU